rnacentral:lncRNA from 1 species
AAUUGUUUAAGACCUUUAAAAAUGGUCGCACCUGCUCCUGUUUAAUUACCCAUCCUUUUAACGGACAGAAUUGAAAUUAUUGGACUGAUAAUCAACCGUGUAAAGGUAUACAAACAGCAUUCUUUUAUUAUGUAGAUUUCAUAAAAUAUAAACCAACAUUUGUUGUAAAAACCUAGAAAUUCUUUCGAAGCUGUUAUUGUCCGCUCUGACUUCAGUUCCGUCACAUCUUCCCCGUUGACUCUCUAUAUUAAU